rnacentral:rRNA from 1 species
AUUGAACGCUGGCGGCAGGCCUAACGCAUGCAAGUCGAGCGGGGUUUUCGGACCUAGCGGCGGACGGGUGAGUAAUGCGUAGGAAGCUACCCGAUAGAGGGGGAUACCAGUUGGAAACGACUGUUAAUACCGCAUAAUGUCUACGGACCAAAGUGUGGGACCUUCGGGCCACAUGCUAUCGGAUGCGCCUACGUGGGAUUAGCUAGUUGGUGGGGUAAUGGCUCACCAAGGCGAGGAUCCCUAGCUGGUUUGAGAGGAUGAUAAGCCACACUGGAACUGACACACGGUCCAGGCUCCUACUGGAGGCAGCAGUGGGGAAUAUUGGACAAUGGGCGCAAGCCUGAUCCAGCCAUGCCGCGUGUGUGAAGAAGGCCUUCGGGUUGUAAAGCACUUUCAGUAGGGAGGAAGGGUGUUGUGUUAAUAGCACAGCAUUUUGACGUUACCUACAGAAGAAGCACCGGCUAACUCUGUGCCAGCCGCCGCCGUAAGAC